rnacentral:lncRNA from 1 species
AAUUUCUGGCUAAUUCUAAAGUGCUUCUCUAGUGUGUAGGAAGAAACAAUUGUUGAAGUUCCCACUAAAGAAAGGAAAAAAAUAUUCUGCCUACGUGAUUUUCGCAAAGUAUGCCCCGUCUAAGCCUAGUUACCGGAGGAGAGUUGUGGUAGGUUGAUAACCACUGUAAAAAUAGUGAUAUUCUAAUUAGUCCUCGUAUUGGAAAAGAAUGCACGCUUCCAAUUUCUGGCUAAUUGUAAAGUGCUUCUCUAGCGUGUAGUUAGAAACCAUUAUUGAAGUUCCCACUAAAGAAAGGAAACAAAAUUCUGCCUACGUGAUUUUCGCAAAGUAUGCCCCGUCUAAGCCUAGUUACCGGAGGAGAGUUGUGGUAGGUUGAUAACCACUGUAAAAAUAGUGAUAUUCUAAUUAGUCCUCGUAUUGGAAAAGAAUGCACGCUU